rnacentral:misc_RNA from 1 species
AUAAAUUCCUUCUUACUGAAAUUUAACUUCAAAUGCUAAAUAAAAGAAAAUGUGAGAAUUUUCUGUCAAACUAAAAUUCCAAUGUCUCUUCAGUCAAUUAUCUAUAAAUUUUUUAAAGAAAGGAACCCAAAUUCUCAUAUAUUACUGUAUUAUACAUCUUACAGAUUGAUUUUCCUAAUUAUUAUAUGAAUUUCUUUCCAUGGACAGUUUCUAUUUCUGCAUUUGACUAAGGGAUGAACCUUUAAUGCACUUGCUUCAUUUCAGGUUGGUGACAUCUUGUACGAGUGAAUUCUUUGAUUGAUUCUAAUUCUUUGGUUCAUCAACUCCUAAA